UGGGGAAUAUUGGACAAUGGGCGCAAGCCUGAUCCAGCCAUGCCGCGUGGAUGAUGAAGGCCCUAGGGUUGUAAAGUCCUUUCGGCGGGGAAGAUAAUGACGGUACCCGCAGAAGAAGCCCCGGCUAACUUCGUGCCAGCAGCCGCGGUAAUACGAAGGGGGCUAGCGUUGCUCGGAAUCACUGGGCGUAAAGCGCACGUAGGCGGCUUUUUAAGUCAGGGGUGAAAUCCUGGAGCUCAACUCCAGAACUGCCUUUGAUACUGAGAAGCUUGAGUCCGGGAGAGGUGAGUGGAACUGCGAGUGUAGAGGUGAAAUUCGUAGAUAUUCGCAAGAACACCAGUGGCGAAGGCGGCUCACUGGCCCGGUACUGACGCUGAGAUGCGAAAGCGUGGGGAGCAAACAGGAUUAGAUACCCUGGUAGUCCACGCCUUAAACGAUGGAUGCUAGCCGUUGUCGGGUUUACUCGUCAGUGGCGCAGCUAACGCAUUAAGCAUCCCGCCUGGGGAGUACGGUCGCAAGAUUA
rnacentral:rRNA from 1 species